GAUAGCUCAAAGCAGGCAAAAGAGCUAUGUUGAUACCAGGAGAAGGCCUUUGGAGUUUGAGGAGGGAGAUCGUGUUUUUUUUAGAGUUACCCCCACUAUUGGCAUUGGAAGAGUGCUAAAGGUCAAGAAAAUAAACCAUCUUUCUGUUGGACCCUUACAAAUAUAGCAGAGGAUUGGUCCUUCUACAUACAUAAUAGCCUUGCCACCCAAACUAUGUAAUCUACACAAUGUUUUUCACGUCUCCUAGUUAAAGAAGUAUAAAAGCAUUGAGACUCAAGUCAAACCUUACUUAUGACUCAAUGACAUUCCAAAUUAUAGAUAGAAGUAUAAAAGCAUUGAGAAAUAAAGAAAUUCCCCUAGUGAAGGUUGUUUGGGAAGGGUCUUCGAUAGAAGAAGCAACAUGAGAAGCAGAGGCAUACAUGCAAAGGGAGUAUGCUUACCUUUUCCAAUAGAUAGAAGUGUAAAAGCAUUGAGAAAUAAAGAAAUUCCCCUAGUGAAGGUUGUUUGGGAAGGGUCUUCGAUAGAAGAAGCAACAUGAGAAGCAGAGGCAGACAUGCAAAGGGAGUAUGCUUACCUUUUCCAAUAGGUAAUCCUCUGAAUUUUGAGGGCAAUUUUUUUUUAAGUGGUGGAGGAUGUAACAACUUAUCAAUUUUGUUAAUUUUAAAAAAUAAAAUAAUUAGUUUA